GAUGAACGCUAGCUACAGGCUUAACACAUGCAAGUCGAGGGGUAACGAGAGGAAAGCUUGCUUUUGAUGGGCGUCGACCGGCGCACGGGUGAGUAACGCGUAUCCAACCUGCCCACCACUUGGGGAUAACCUUGCGAAAGUAAGACUAAUACCCAAUGAUAUCUCUAGAAGACAUCUGAAGGAGAUUAAAGAUUUAUCGGUGAUGGAUGGGGAUGCGUCUGAUUAGCUUGUUGGCGGGGUAACGGCCCACCAAGGCGACGAUCAGUAGGGGUUCUGAGAGGAAGGUCCCCCACAUUGGAACUGAGACACGGUCCAAACUCCUACGGGAGGCAGCAGUGAGGAAUAUUGGUCAAUGGGCGAGAGCCUGAACCAGCCAAGUAGCGUGCAGGAUGACGGCCCUAUGGGUUGUAGACUGCUUUUAUAAGGGAAUAAAGUGAGUCUCGUGAGACUUUUUGCAUGUACCUUAUGAAUAAGGACCGGCUAAUUCCGUGCCAGCAGCCGCCGUAA
rnacentral:rRNA from 1 species